rnacentral:misc_RNA from 1 species
GGAAGGAUCAUUUACAAGAUAUUUGGCUAUUUAUAGCCAUUAGCUCAGGGUCGCAAGACCUUGAUGUUUACGCUUGCGUGUUUGACAAAUUAUUUAUAUGAGAAAUUAUGACAACUUUAAACAAUGGAUCUCUUGGCUCUUGCAUCGAUGAAGAACGCAGUAAAGUGCGAUAUGUAGUGCGAUUUGCAUGAAUCUGUGAGUCAUCUAAUCUUUGAACGCAACUUGCGCCUCUCUGAGGCAUGUCUGUUUGAGUGCCAUAUUCACCAUGAAUAUCACAUUCGACUUGAUUUUAACUAUUCAGUUUUAAUCUAAAUGAAGCCAGUUUUCACUUUAUAUUAGUGAGCCCAAGUGCUAAGCAUUCUAGGGUGAUCUAAUAGAAAAGUUUUAUACUUUGGCCUCAAAUCAGGCAAGACUACCCGCUGAACUUAAGCAUAUCAGUAAGCGGAGGAAAAGAAACUAACAAGGAUUCCCCUAGUAACGGCGAGUGAAGCGGGAAAAGCUCAAAUUUAAAAUCUCAAUGCUUUGCAUUGCGAAUUGUAGUCUAAAGAAAGGUAAUCUAGGCGGGUCUGGGUGCUCAAGUCCCUUGGAAAAGGGCGCCAGAGAGGGUGAGAGCCCCGUAACAGCAUCUGGUCCUGCUCAAGUGAGAACCUUUCUACGAGUCGAGUUGCUUGGGAAUGCAGCUCAAAGUGGGUGGUAAAUCUCAUCUAAGGCUAAAUAUUGGCAAGAGACCGAUAGCGAACAAGUACCGUGAGGGAAAGAUGAAAAGCACCUUGAAAAGGGAGUUAAAUAGUGCGUGAAAUUGUUUAAAGGGAAACGAUAGAGAUCAGUAUUGGCUAGUGCUUCAACUAGGUGCUUUGGUGCCUAGAGCGAGCACUGGUCGAGUCAAUGCCAGUUGUAGCUGCCGGAUACGACUUGAGGAAAGGUGGGGUCUUCGGACUCUUUAUAGACCUCGAGAUUCUGCGGCCGCCGCGACUGGAAGUCUGGGGACGCUAGGCAACUUGGGAGGAACGAUGAGCAGACAACAUGUUGACUGUUUAUUCUCACUUUUUACGAGCCAAAGCUUACUUGGGCGUCUUUGACGAAAUGGUCUUUAACGACCCGUCUUGAAACACGGACCAAGGAGUCUAACAAUCUUGCGAGCAUUAGAGUGGCAAACUCGUGAUGCGCAAUGAAAGUAAAAGCCUGUGAGCUUCGGCGCAACAGGGACCGGCCUAGAAUUAUUAUGACAGGACCGAGUAAGAGUAGAAUUGUUGGGACCCGAAAGGCGGUGAACUAUGCCUGACUAGGGCGAAGCCAGAGGAAACUCUGGUGGAGGCUCGUAGCCGUUCUGACGUGCAAAUCGAUGGUCAAAGUUGGGUAUAGGGGCGAAAGACUAAUCGAACCGCCUAGUAGCUGGUUCCCUC